rnacentral:rRNA from 1 species
AAGACGUGUUUUCCGCUUCGGACCAUGCCUAAGUCCCUUGGAAAAGGGCAUCAUAGAGGGUGAUAAUCCCGUACAUGGCAUGGAGCGCCCGAAGCUUUGUGAUACGCUUUCUAAGAGUCGAGUUGUUUGGGAAUGCAGCUCAAAAUGGGUGGUAAAUGCCAUCUAAGGCUAAAUAUUGGGGAGAGACCGAUAGCGAACAAGUACAGUGAUGGAAAGAUGAAAAGAACUUUGAAAAGAGAGUUAAACAGUACGUGAAAUUGCCAAAAGGGAAGGGUAGGAGGUCAGAGAUGCGGCCUGGGAUUCAGCCUUGCUUUUGCUUGGUGUUUUUCCCAGAUUGCAGGCCAACGUCGGUUUUGGGCACUGGAGAAGGGUAGGAGGAACGUGGCACCUCUCGGGGUGUGUUAUAGCCUCCUACUGGAUACAGCGACCGAGACCGAGGACAGCAGCGUACUCGCAAGAGCGGGCCUUCGGGCACCUUUACGCUUAGGGCGUUGGCAUAAUGGCCCUCUACCACCCGUCUUG